rnacentral:rRNA from 1 species
CCUACGGGGAGCAGCAGUGGGGAAUAUUGCGCAAUGGGCGAAAGCCUGACGCAGCGACGCCGCGUGAGGGAUGAAGGUCUUCGGAUCGUAAACCUCUGUCAGCAGGGAAGAACGGUCACUGUGCUAAUCAGCAGUGAAUUGACGGUACCUGCAAAGGAAGCACCGGCUAACUCCGUGCCAGCAGCCGCGGUAAUACGGAGGGUGCGAGCGUUAAUCGGAAUUACUGGGCGUAAAGCGCUCGUAGGCGGUAUGUCAAGUCAAGGGUGAAAUCCCCGCGCUCAACGUGGGAACUGCCUUUGAAACUGGCAAACUGGAGUGUGUGAGAGGAUAGUGGAAUGCCAGGUGUAGGAGUGAAAUCCGUAGAUAUCUGGAGGAACAUCAGUGGCGAAGGCGACUAUCUGGAACAUAACUGACGCUGAGGAGCGAAAGCGUGGGUAGCAAACAGGAUUAGAUACCCCUGUAGUC